rnacentral:rRNA from 1 species
AGAGUGAACGCUGGCGGCGUGCUUAACACAUGCAAGUCGAAUGAGAACGGAUUUUAGCUUGCUAAAAUUGUCAGCUAAGUGGCGCACGGGUGAGUAAUAUAUAGGUAACGUGCCCUAGAGAAGAGGAUAACAAUUGGAAACGAUUGCUAAUACUCUAUAUGCCUUUAAGUCAAAAGACUGCAAGGGAAAUAUUUAUAGCUCUAGGAUCGGCCUGUACGGUAUCAGCUAGUUGGUGAGGUAAGAGCUCACCAAGGCAAUGACACCUAACUGGUUUGAGAGGAUGAUCAGUCACACUGGAACUGAGACACGGUCCAGACUCCUACGGGAGGCAGCAGUGGGGAAUAUUGCACAAUGGACGAAAGUCUGAUGCAGCAACGCCGCGUGGAGGAUGACACAUUUCGGUGCGUAAACUCCUUUUAUAUCUGAAGAUAAUGACGGUAGGAUAUGAAUAAGCACCGGCUAACUCCGUGCCAGCAGCCGCGGUAAUACGGAGGGUGCAAGCGUUACUCGGAAUCACUGGGCGUAAAGAGCAUGUAGGCGGGUAAUUAAGUCAGAAGUGAAAUCCAAUAGCUCAACUAUUGAACUGCUUUUGAAACUGGUUACCUAGAAUAUGGGAGAGGUAGAUGGAAUUUCUGGUGUAGGGGUAAAAUCCGUAGAGAUCAGAAGGAAUACCGAUUGCGAAGGCGAUCUACUGGAACAUUAUUGACGCUGAGAUGCGAAAGCGUGGGGAGCAAACAGGAUUAGAUACCCUGGUAGUCCACGCCCUAAACGAUGCACACUAGUUGUUGCUAUGCUAGACAUAGCAGUAAUGCAGUUAACACAUUAAGUGUGCCGCCUGGGGAGUACGGUCGCAAGAUUA